GACGAACGCUGGCGGCAGGCCUAAUACAUGCAAGUCGAGCGAGCGGCGGACGGGUGAGUAAUGUAUGGGGAUCUGCCCGAUAGAGGGGGAUAACUACUGGAAACUGUGGCUAAUACCGCAUACUAUCGGAUGAACCCAUGGGGGAUUAGUUAGUUGGUGGGGUAAAGGCCACCAAGGAGACGAUCUCUAGCUGGUCUGAGAGGAUGAGCAGCCACACUGGGACUGAGACACGGCCCAGACUCCUACGGGAGGCAGCAGUGGGGAAUAUUGCGCAAUGGGGGCAACCCUGACGCAGCCAUGCCGCGUGUAUGAAGAAGGCCUUAGGGUUGUAAAGUACUUUCGGCAUGGAGGCGUUAACUACAGAAGAAGCACCGGCUAACUCCGUGCCAGCAGCCGCGGUAAUAC
rnacentral:rRNA from 1 species